rnacentral:tRNA from 1 species
UAGAGAGAAGCCAAAAAGCGGCGAUCGCCUGUUAAGCGAAGAACUGGGUAAUUAAUAGCCCCUCUCUAG